UCCACACUAGAAUACUUUAUUCAAGAGAAUCUGGCUUGGCAGUCGUCUUGCUUCUUUCAAAGCGGAAGCUCCCAGGGGUCUGUGGCUGGCUUCUCUCUUUCUCUCACGUUGUUGAAGGCACUGAAUUCCUGAGGGUCCUGUCCUUCCCUGCCCCUCGUCUUGAAGGGAGCGAGGCAUUCAGCAGGGAAACAGUUGGCUAAUAAAUAGAGGGGUCACCAGGCAUGUCUGGGCUCUGCCUCCCAGGGCUGUGGCUGUUGGCCCAGAAGCAAGAAGAAAGGUGUCCCUGUUGCCUGGCCCUAGGAGGCAGAAGGGGCCAAAGUCCAUUCCACUGAGCCUAUGAGGACAUGAGCCUCCUGGUAAUCUCGGAAGAAAAAUAAACUUCAGUCCUAGCAGAGGCCCUCGGGAAAGGCU
rnacentral:lncRNA from 1 species